GCCACAAGGACUGCGGCUGGGGUCGAUAUACAAGACAGGGCCUGGCUAUGUAGCCAGGCUGGCCUUCAACUCCCACGAUCCUCCUGCCUCAGCCGCACUCUCUCCAGAGUGCGGGGAUCGAAGGCGUGCGCCACCCCACUCAGCAUGCACUGGAUGAGAUCCCGAAGGCAGCUUCUUGUUUGGUCUCUGUCUCAUCUUGGCACCUUGGCCAGGAGUCGGGCCGUGAUCGGCAGGAGCAGAAAGAGCCGGGCUUCAUGAGGACAGAGGCUGUUCCUGCAGGGGUCUCCCUUUGCUCCCACCCCUCAGGGUCACUUCCUUCCCCUUCUAAGCU
rnacentral:lncRNA from 1 species